AUGCAGCCCAGGAUCAGUAGUGCUUUGGAUCCUAAUUCAAGAGAUGCACUUGGUCUAGCUUGGUCCAAGUUUUUUCAUGCCAAUGAUAUUGCUGGACGUAAAGCUGAUUGCCCAUACUUUCGAGCUGCUGUGAAGAUCACUCAACAAUUAGGGCCUAUUCCUAUACCAACCGCGAAGGAGAUUGAUGGGCCAUAUUUGGAGGCCAACUAUGAUGAAGCUAAUUCGUUUCUUCAAAAAUUCAAACAAGACUGGAAGAACUUUGGUGUGACUCUUAUGUGCGAUUCUUGGACUGGUCCUACAGGAAUGAGCAUCAUAAACUUCAUGGUGUAUUGUAAUGCACGAAUGUUCUUCCUCAAUACCAUUGAUGCAUCCGGACAAACUCAGAAUUCAGACUUUAUCUAUAGAGAGAUUGAAAAGGUUGUCGAAGAGAUAGGGCAUGAGCAUAUAGUUCAAAUAGUAACCGAUAAUGGAUCCAAUUAUAAGAAAGCUUGCAAAACCCUUAUAGAAGAACCAAAAUACUCUCAUAUUGUUUGGCAACCAUGUGCGGCCCAUACCGUCAAUCUUAUGCUAAAAGAUAUAGCAAAAUUUCCUGAGGUUGAUGUGAUAGUCAAGAGUGCCAAGACAAUCUGUAGGUUCAUGCAUAAGCACAAUAACCUCCAUGAUAACAUGAAGAAGAACAUAGGUGGUGAACUAAUUAGACCAAAUGCCACCCGUUUUGGGACUGUCUUCAUGUUCCUUGAGAGUUACCAUUCAAAGAAAGAUAAAUUUAGGGAGUGGAUGGUUUCAAAGGAUUGGAAGGAGUGUCAGUGGAGGUAUGAGCCUGGGUAUGUGUUUGCUGAAGAGUGUUUGUCUAGUAAUGUUUGGUGGAACGCACUAGAGUGGGUAUUGAGUUCAUUGAGGCCACUUUAUACGGCCAUGAGGUAUGCUGAUACACAAAAACAAUGCACACUUUCUGGCUUCAAAAAAAGCAUGAUGCUUGCUAUACAAAGGAUGGAAGCCCAUCUUGGCCCUACAUCAAGGUUGUACCUUUCGUUCAUGCGCAAGGUGGGCAAGAGGAUAGAUGCAAUGGAAGAAGAUACAUUUAUGGUUGCAGCUGCUGUCCUUGACCCAUAUACACAUUACAAGCUGAACCUUUGCAACCACACAGAUUAUGCCACUUCACUAACAGAUGCGAUAGCGAAGAUAUUAGACCCAGUGAGUGCUCUUUCAGCCAUUGAUGAAGUGAGCAAGUUCAGGGAGUGCCAAGGGAGGUUUGGGACCAGAUUGGCAGAAGAAGCUGCGGCGAGAAUGGGGCCAAGUAAGUUAUCUUGCAGCCCAAUGGUGGUUUCAGUUUGGAGGGGAUGUUCCUGCAUUGCAGAAAUGUGCAAUGAGAAUUUGCUCACAAUGUGUCUCCUCUAG
rnacentral:rRNA from 1 species